CGCGUAGGCGGAUGUUACAGUCAGGCGUGAAAUUCCUGGGCUCAACCUGGGGGCUGCGUUUGAUACGUGAUGUCUGGAGUUCGGAAGAGGGUCGUGGAAUUCCCAGUGUAGAGGUGAAAUUCGUAGAUAUUGGGAAGAACACCGGUGGCGAAGGCGGCGACCUGGUCCGAUACUGACGCUGAGGCGCGAAAGCGUGGGAGCAAACAGGAUUAGAUACCCUGGUAGUCCACGCUGUAAACGAUGUGCGCUGGAUGUUGGGUGACAUAGUCAUUCAGUGUCGUAGCUAACGCGAUAAGCGCACCGCCUGGGGAGUACGGCCGCAAGGUUGAA
rnacentral:rRNA from 1 species